UUCCGGUUGAUCCUGCCGGAGGCCACUGCUAUUGGGAUCCGACUAAGCCAUGCGAGUCGAGAGGGUUCGGCCCUCGGCAGACUGCUCAGUAACACGUGGAUAACCUACCCUCAGGCGGAGAAUAACCUCGGGAAACUGAGAAUAAUACUCCAUAGAUCUAGGAUGCUGGAAUGCGCCUAGAUUGAAAGCUCUGGCGCCUAAGGAUGGGUCUGCGGACUAUCAGGUUGUAGUCAGGGUAAAGACCUGACUAGCCUACGACGGAUAUGGGUUGUGAGAGCAAUAGCCCAGAGACGAUAUCUGAGACACGAUAUCGGGCCCUACGGGGCGCAGCAGGCGCGAAAUCUUCACAAUGUGCGAAAGCACGAUGAGGGGAUCCCAAGUGCUGGCACGUAAGUGUCAGCUGUUUCUUUGUCUAAAAAACAAAGAGAGUAAGAGCUGGGUAAGACGGGUGCCAGCCGCCGCGGUAAUACCUGCAGCUCAAGUGGUGGCCGCUAUUAUUGGGCCUAAAACGUCCGUAGCCGGUUUAGUAAAUGCUUGGGUAAAUUGUGUAGCUUAACUAUACGAAUACCGGGUAGACUGCUAAACUUGGGACCGGGAGAGGCUAGAGGCACUCCUAGGGUAGAGGUGAAAUUCUGUAAUCCUAGGGGGACCACCAGUGGCGAAAGGCGUCUAGCUAGAACGGGUCUGACGGUGAGGGACGAAGCCCUGGGGCGCAAACCGGGAUUAGAUACCCGGGUAGUCCAGGGUGUAAACGCUGCUUGCUUGAUGUUAGUUGGGCUCGAGCCCAACUAGUGUCGGACAGCAGUUGUUAAGCAAGCUGCCUGGAAGUACGGUCGCAAGACUGAAACUUACACGGAAUUGGCCGGGAGGAGCAUCAGCACAUGCCGGAGCGUGCGGUCUACUGCAAGUCAACGCGGUA
rnacentral:rRNA from 1 species